rnacentral:sRNA from 1 species
GGCAGCUCUGGAAAUAGAUUUUUUCGACUCCUGAGGGUUUAUUUUGUUAAUGCUUAUUGUAAGUUGCCUUUUAAAAUUUAAAUGUUAUUUAAUUAAUUUGGUGUGUGUGUGUGUGUGUGUGUAUGUGUUUCUGAGGACUAAACUCAAACCCUCACAGAUGCCA